rnacentral:rRNA from 1 species
UGGGGAUUUUGGACAAUGGGCGCAAGCCUGAUCCAGCCAUGCCGCGUGCGGGAAGAAGGCCUUCGGGUUGUAAACCGCUUUUGUCAGGGAAGAAAUCUUCUGAGUUAAUACCUCGGGAGGAUGACGGUACCUGAAGAAUAAGCACCGGCUAACUACGUGCCAGCAGCCGCGGUAAUACGUAGGGUGCAAGCGUUAAUCGGAAUUACUGGGCGUAAAGCGUGCGCAGGCGGUUUUGUAAGACAGAGGUGAAAUCCCCGGGCUCAACCUGGGAACUGCCUUUGUGACUGCAAGGCUUGAGUGCGGCAGAGGGGGAUGGAAUUCCGCGUGUAGCAGUGAAAUGCGUAGAUAUGCGGAGGAACACCGAUGGCGAAGGCAAUCCCCUGGGCCUGCACUGACGCUCAUGCACGAAAGCGUGGGGAGCAAACAGGAUUAGAUACCCUGGUAGUCCACGCCCUAAACGAUGUCAACUGGUUGUUGGGAAGGUUCCUUCUCAGUAACGUAGCUAACGCGUGAAGUUGACCGCCUGGGGAGUACGGCCGCAAGGUUGAAACUUAAAUGAAUUGACGGGGU